rnacentral:rRNA from 1 species
GUAUAGGGAAUAUUAAAGUUGUUGCAGUUAAAAAGCUCGUAGUUGAACCUUGGGCCUGGCUGGCCGGUCUGCCUCACCGCAUGUACUGGUUCGGCCGGGUCUUUCCUCCUGGGGAUCCGCAUGCCCUUCACUGGGUGUGUUGGGGAACCAGGACUUUUACUUUGAGACAAUUAGAGUGUUCAAAGCAGGCCUUUGCUCGAAUACAUUAGCAUGGAAUAAUAGAAUAGGACGUGCGGUCCUAUUUUGUUGGUUUCUAGGACCGCCGUAAUGAUUAAUAGGGAUAGUCGGGGGCAUCAGUAUUCGAGUUGCUCAGAGGUGAAAUUCUUGGAUUUACUGAAGGACUAACUACUGCGAAAGCAUGUUGCCAAGGAUGUUUUCAUGAAUCAGUGAACGAAAGUUAGGGGAUCGAAGACGAUCAAGAUACCGUCGUAGUCUUAACCGUAAACUAUGCCGGCUAGGGAUCGGGCGAUGUUAUUCUUUUGACUCGCUCGGCACCUUACGAGAAAUCAAAGUCUUUGGGUUCUGGGGGGAU